rnacentral:rRNA from 1 species
UACGAAGGGGGCAAGCGUUGUUCGGAAUUACUGGGCGUAAAGGGCGCGUAGGCGGCUUACCAAGUCAGGCGUGAAAUUCCCGGGCUCAACCUGGGGGCUGCGCUUGAUACUGGUGAGCUUGAAUGCGGGAGAGGAUAGUGGAAUUCCCGGUGUAGAGGUGAAAUUCGUAGAUAUUGGGAAGAACACCGGUGGCGAAGGCGGCUAUCUGGCCCGUAAUUGACGCUGAGGCGCGAAAGCGUGGGGAGCAAACAGG